CAGUUAAGUAGUUUGUAUAAAGAAUAUAAGCUUUGGGUGCUUAAGGACCUGUU
rnacentral:tRNA from 1 species